GGAGCUCCUUCUUUCUGUUGCCUUCAUUUGUUAAAAAAUAAAAAUAAAAAAGGAAAAAAAAGAAAAGAAAAAAAAAAAAACAGCUAUGCAUGUUUAUACAUGAUUUGAACAGAAAAAAAAGGUGCAGCAGCCUCCAGUACACAACUACUGUAGCUGAUUGUUACACAUCAUCUUCUUCAAUAGUAACCCUUUUGUUGGAAAUUAAAGCAAUCAUAUUGUGAACUUUAUAUGGUAUUAUUUUCCAUGCCAAAUAAUUCAGUGCCCCUUAGCUAGAGGGUUUUGGUUAAAGAUGGUGAGCUCAAAAGCAGCGACAACAUAUCUCAUUCCUAUGCACCGAGUACUCCACUCCUUUUACUUUCCGCGAGGUAUUGUACAGAACAUGUUUGCUUCAUAAGCAAUUUGGUUGGUCUAAUUUAUGACUUGAAAUUGUAAAUUAGGGUGUCCACAGGAUUCGGUAAGUCAAUUAAUCAUCAAAUCCGAUCCGACCCGAUUCGAUUAUAUUGGUUAUAAACUUUAUGGAUA